CAAAGACAAAGUGCAGACGACGCGAUUUCCAAAGUCGGAGAUAACCGAUAUCUUGAAGGAUGGUGAAAGACUACAAAUGCAUUUGCUGCAAUAAGCGUGUAAAACCAAAAGAUUGUCGCCCAUUGACUGACACUGUUAAUAACUAUCUGCGAAAGGUCUUGCCUGCUGUAGAUCCAACAGACAGUGAUGUCAUUUGUCUUCCAUGUCGUGUCAAAAGCUACAAGAAUGCCCCAAAGCCUAGGCAAUGUUCAGACAACAUCAGCAAUGACCCGGAUGACCAACCCCAACCAUCUACAUCCAGACAGCCAUUUAGUCCAUUAUCAUUCUUUAGAUAUCUGAACAAGGAUGUUACCCCGUCUACAGUCUUCUCGAGAUUAAUCAACUGAGCGGUGCCAUUGAGGGCGAUCUAUGUUGAACAUGGAACACAUAUACGGGCGUCAGAAGAAUUUUAUUUUGCAUUUAAAUGUCGA